rnacentral:sRNA from 1 species
AUGCAUUAUCUGACAUUUGAGGUCAGUAUUUAAUUCCAGUCCUCUAGAAAUAUUUUUUUUUCCACACUUUGUCAAGAUGUUUCCAUAUUGCUAAUGCUUUGUAAUGAUUUCCUUUGCCUCAACCCCUAGGCGACUAUGGUGAAAAAAUAUUACAUCAGGUGGUGCGCUACCGAACCCUCAAAGAUAGUGGAAAGCACUUUUGGAGCAAUUGAAUAUAAUACUUGGACCUAGAACUAUUUUUGUAUUUAAGGUUUAGUUGUACUCUUGUUCCUUUUCUUAUGCUAUGGGUGAGCAUUAGUGCCACUCUUUUGUUUUUUAAGUGUCUCUCUCUCUCUCUCUCUCUCUGUGUUCCUCCCCUGCUUCUAGACAUUGAAUUAUUCCUGCACUUGCAAUUUCUAUUAGCAAUUUAGGAAUGGAAAUCUACAUAAUCAUUAUUGGACUGCUAAUAAUCAUGCUGGUGAAGUUUAUUUUAUGAAACAAGUUAUCUAGCACCAUUAGUUUUUCCUUGAUAAGUAUCUCAUAAAUGUAUGAUUUUCUGCAUAAACAGUUAAAUGUUAGUAUUGUUGUUUAUCAACAAAGCUCAAGUGCUACUGUAGCUUCCUUUUGAAAAGUAGGGGUAAGAUGUUGGAUAGAUAGAUCUGAUUGAAAACUGAGAAUAAUGAACAAGGAAAAUGUGAGAAAGCUCCUAAUUAGGAUGUUUAGCAAAAGAAAACUUGUGAAGAUUUGGCUCACUUUUGUAGUUGGUAUGCGUUCCCUGAAUACGACUUAAGCCUUAGGCAUGGUAGUUAUGUGUUUUGGCUUAACCAUUAGAUGUGGGUUUUGUUUGUUUUCAACUUCGAUGGCCCAAGACUUUGUUAACCUCAGUCACAAUUCAUCGUCGAAGAAAUAUUCUAAUGAACUAUGAAGAAUUAUGCCUCAAUCAAAAAUUUUCAUUGAAACUGUUUCUCCUAUGUCAUUUUUGUCCUGUUUCUUUUGCAUUUGAUGGCAAGGUAUGUUUCCUUUUUUAGUAGCACUGUUUCAUUGGUGGCUUUUACCCAAUGUCAAUGGAUAUCAUAUCGACUUAUAAGUAUUUAUUAUGUUUCUAUAAAAAAGAAAUUGGGAACUGAAUAUGUUUUUGAACUUAAAAUUAUUAUUUAUAAAAUAAUUAUUUCAUUUCUAUUAAUUGAUCUUUUUUUUUUUUGGUUAAUGUAGAUGACUGGGAUGGUUGUGGUUGAAGUCAUUGGUAGGCCCCAGAUUUCCUUCUGCCUUGGAUGUGAGCUUAGUCUUGUUUUCAUUUGUAUAAUUUUGUGUUUUUUUUUUUUUUAACUAAUUUGUCAAAUUGAGAUGCAUAAUUUUUGCUCAGCUUACCAUGUGGCCUUCCGAUGGUGAGGAAAAAUCUUACAUAUGUUUCCUAGUUUUAUUUAUUAAUUUGGACUUAAUUAAUUUCUUAAUUUAAAAAACUAUGUACACCAAUUGCAUAGAAUACUAACUUUUGUAGAAAAUGUGUAUAAUAAUUGAAAUUUUUUUUAAUGAAAUUAUAUAUUUAUCAAAAAAAUAAAAAAAGCAAUGGGAUUAUCUGUUCCCACGGAAGCUAAAUGGCUGGUAGGAAAUGGGAACUCGAUUCCUAAUAACUAACUUUUGGCUUAAUGUAAGAUUCAAUGUGACUGGGGGAAAUUAUCCACAUAUUACAAGGGCUUUUUUUUUUUUUUUGACCAAGCUACUGCACAAUGAAAUUGUGCAUUAGUGAGGAAUUGAUAUGCAUCACAUGUAGCAAACUCUAUUAUUUAGAAGGAGCUAACUCCUAGGUCGGGAAGUGCAGUUAAAUUGAUUAGGCCCCAUGAAUCAGUCAGGUCUCUUUACUGUCAAGCAAGCCUACUGGCUUCUCUAUAGUGAAUAUUUAUAUGGAAGGAGCAAAACUUUGAGAUAUAGUUUUUAAUUGUGGGCCGACCUAUGGAAGCUUAAAUCCUUUCCCAAAGUGCUUAUUUUCCUCUGAAAAGUAUUACAUGAUAGUCUUUCGGUAAGAAGAGAGUUUACAACUAGGAAUCUAAUCAUUGAUGAUCUUUUUCCAUAUUGUGAUUUAUAAGAGGAAUCCUUCUUGUUUUUUUCUUUUUUAUUAAUUGUGUUAGAUAGAUAUCUGUUUUUUAUUUUUAAUAUCUUCUAUACAUUUGGCUAGAUGUUCUCCUUGGUUUGAUUGUUCGCAUCCAGCCUGUCUAUACUAUUUUAUGGCAUGACUAUGAAUUUCUUAGAUAUGUUUUGCUUCAUUUUCAGGUACAAUGUCCAUUUUCUAUAGUUUUAUCUAGCAAAACCCUAAGGAUUUUUUCACUUUGUGUGAUUGUAAACACAUUGACUAUCAGCUCUAUGGGGAUGUGGCAAAUUCAUCAAGUAUGAAAAAAAAAUACCUUUCAUAUAUUCUCUCCUCCUUGCAUAUUACAUGCCUUUUCAUGAUCUUAUAAUUCAAUUGCAAUAUAAUUUUUCAGGGAGUACAUGCCCUUAAACAUAAGAAGAAUUGCUGUACUCCCCUUAAACAUAAGAAGAAUUGCAAUGUCUAGAUUAUCACUCCUAUGCCUUAGCCUGCUCAAAUUUAUUAAUAGCUUCAUGUAUUAUCGGACAUUCAAGGUUAGUAUUUCCUAUCCUCUAGCAAAUGUUGUUUUCCACACUUUGUCAAGAUGUUUCCAUAUUGAUAACGCUUUAUAAUGAGUCCCUUUGCCUCAACCCCAAGGUACCUAUGGUGAAAAAAUAUUACAUCAGGUGGUGCUUUACCAGACCCUUAAAGAUAGUGGAAAACACUUUUGUAUCAAUUGAAUAUAAUACUUAGACCUAGAACUAUUUGUAUCUUUGGUCUAGUUGUACUCUUGUUCCUUUUCUUCUGCUAUUGGUGAGCAUUAGCGCCAUUCUUUUGUUUUUUAACUCUCUCUCUCUCUCUCUCUCUCUCUCUCUCUCUCUCUUUGUUUUUCCCCUGCUUCGAGACAUUGAUUGUUGCCUGCACGUGCAAUUUCUAUUACUAAUUUAGGAAUGGAAAUCUACAUAAUCAUUAUUGGACUACUAAAAAUCAUGCUGGUGAAGUUUAUUUUAUGAAACAUGUUAUCGAGCACCAUUAUUUUUUCCUUGAUAAUUGUCUCAUAAAAUGUAUGCUUUUCUACAUAAACAGUUGAAGGUUAGUGCUGUUGUUUAUCAACAAUGCUCAAGUGUUACUGCAACUUCCUUUUGAAAAAUAGGGGUAAGAUGUUGGAUAGAGAGAUCUGAUUGAAAAGUGAGAACAAUGAACUAGGAAAAUGUGAGAAAGCUCCAAAUCAGGAUAUUGAGCACAAGAAAACUUGUGAAUAUUCAGCUCACUUUUUUAGUCUGUAUGCAUUCCCCGAAGACUACAUAUCAAAGUUAAAAGAAAUGUGGAGGUAAAAGAAAUCAUUUUGUACAUUUUUUUUUUAAAAAUUCAAGCCAUUCAAAAAUCUUAGUUUGUUCUCAUUGUCUAUAAAUACAAUUAAACUGAAGCACCUAACUUUUUGUUGACCUUCUAUAAUUAUGCCACGUAAGCUUUAGAAGUCUCACAAAUUUACACAUUACCAUUAUUAACUUUUUCUUAUAUGUGAAUCAUGUAUAUGAUGGUUUCUGUAGCUCUCAGACCUCAUGACCAAUUUGCAAAAGGAUCGGCCAUCACUUAGUUGCCCAAGUAGCAAUGGCUUUAGGUUCCAGUCACAUGAAUGGGAAAAGCAUGGGGCUUGCUCAGAAUCUCAACUUGACCAGCAUGAAUACUUUAAAGCAGCUCUCAAUCUAAAGAAGAAAGCAAACCUCCUACAAAUACUCAGGAUUGCAAGAAUUGAACCAGAUGAUGGAUUUUACAACUUAGACAACAUUGUAAAAGCAAUAAUAAAGGGCAUUGGGCACACUCCUAGGAUAGGAUGCAAUAAAGAUUCAGACGGUAAUAGCCAACUUACCAAAUCUACUUCUAGGGAAAAAUUCAUUGAGUAUCAAGUGCCUUCAAAAGGAAGAUGUGCCUCAAAUGUCUAG